CGGAGCCGGAGCUGGGCCUAGCUGUCCCACGGGCCACCACUACCUCCUUUGGUUCGGGAGAAAGCUACGACCAAGUACGCCCAGCUCGGGCCUUAGAACUUCUGAACGGGCAGUGCGGGACCAAAAGAGGAAGAUAGUCUUGGGACCCUUGCAUGGUGUUUCAAAGGGUGGUGAAGAACUAAGAUAUCUUCUUGAAGCCCUGCAUCCUCCCAUUCUAAUUUGAACUGUUAGCUUCCCAUCACUGUCAUCUUGGGUAGAAGAAUACAUGUUCACUUCCAGUGAACAAGAGCAUGUUCCCAAACUCAAUUUUGGGUCGCCCACCCUUCACUCCAAAUCAUCAACAACAUAAUAACUUCUUUACCCUGUCACCUACUGUUUAUUCACACCAGCAGCUUAUAGAUGCACAAUUCAACUUUCAGAAUGCAGACUUGUCUAGAGCUGUGUCAUUACAGCAGCUGACAUAUGGAAAUGUCAGUCCAAUACAGACCUCAGCUUCCCCAUUAUUUCGAGGAAGGAAGAGAUUAAGCGAUGAAAAAAACCUUCCUCUUGACGGUAAACGGCAACGUUUCCAUUCACCCCACC
rnacentral:sRNA from 1 species